rnacentral:rRNA from 1 species
AUUGAACGCUGGCGGCAUGCCUUACACAUGCAAGUCGAACGGUAACAGGUCUUCGGAUGCUGACGAGUGGCGAACGGGUGAGUAAUACAUCGGAACGUGCCUAGUAGUGGGGGAUAACUACUCGAAAGAGUGGCUAAUACCGCAUGAGAUCUACGGAUGAAAGCAGGGGAUCGCAAGACCUUGUGCUACUAGAGCGGCCGAUGGCAGAUUAGGUAGUUGGUGGGAUAAAAGCUUACCAAGCCGACGAUCUGUAGCUGGUCUGAGAGGAGGAGCAGCCACACUGGGACUGAGACACGGCCCAGACUCCUACGGGAGGCAGCAGUGGGGAAUUUUGGACAAUGGGCGCAAGCCUGAUCCAGCAAUGCCGCGUGCAGGAUGAAGGCCUUCGGGUUGUAAACUGCUUUUGUACGGAACGAAAAGCCCUGGGUUAAUACCCUGGGGUCAUGACGGUACCGUAAGAAUAAGCACCGGCUAACUACGUGCCAGCCGCCGCCGUAACAC